GACGAACGCUGGCGGCGUGCUUAACACAUGCAAGUCGAACGGAAAGGCCCUGCUUGCAGGGUACUCGAGUGGCGAACGGGUGAGUAACACGUGGGUGAUCUGCCCUGCACUUCGGGAUAAGCCUGGGAAACUGGGUCUAAUACCGGAUAGGAGCCAUUUUUAGUGUGAUGGUUGGAAAGUUUUUUCGGUGUAGGAUGAGCUCGCGGCCUAUCAGCUUGUUGGUGGGGUAAUGGCCUACCAAGGCGGCGACGGGUAGCCGGCCUGAGAGGGUGGACGGCCACAGUGGGACUGAGAUACGGCCCAGACUCCUACGGGAGGCAGCAGUGGGGAAUAUUGCACAAUGGGCGCAAGCCUGAUGCAGCGACGCCGCGGGGGGGAUGACGGCCUUCGGGUUGUAAACGCCUUUCGCUAGGGACGAAGCUUUUUGUGACGGUACCUAGAUAAGAAGCACCGGCUAACUACGUG
rnacentral:rRNA from 1 species